UACGUAGGGGGCUAGCGUUGUCCGGAAUCAUUGGGCGUAAAGCGCGCGUAGGCGGCCCGGUAAGUCCGUUGUGAAAGUCAAAGGCUCAACCUUUGAAAGCCGAUGGAUACUGCCGGGCUAGAGUCCGGAAGAGGCGAGUGGAAUUCCUGGUGUAGCGGUGAAAUGCGCAGAUAUCAGGAGGAACACCGAUGGCGAAGGCAGAUCUCUGGGCCGUAACUGACGCUGAGGAGCGAAAGCGUGGGGAGCGAACAGG
rnacentral:rRNA from 1 species